UAGAAGGAAGCUCGCUGGAUUGAGUUUUUAGCUGUUAACUAAAUAUCCGUGGGAUCAAGGCCCGCCCUUCUAG
rnacentral:tRNA from 1 species